rnacentral:rRNA from 1 species
GAUGAACGCUAGCGGCAGGCCUAACACAUGCAAGUCGAGGGGCAGCACGUCUUCGGAUGGUGGCGACCGGCGCACGGGUGCGUAACGCGUAUGCAACCUACCUCUUACAGUGGGAUAGCCCAGAGAAAUUUGGAUUAAUACCGCAUAGUAUGCGACAUCAGCAUUGAUGACGUAUUAAACAUUCAUGGGUAAGAGAUGGGCAUGCGUUCUAUUAGUUAGUUGGAGUGGUAACGGCACCCCAAGACAGCGAUAGAUAGGGCCCGUGAGAGGGGGAGUCCCCCACCACUGGUACUGAGACACGGACCAGACUCCUACGGGAGGCAGCAGUGAGGAAUAUUGGACAAUGGGCGGGAGCCUGAUCCAGCCA